GCCAGCAGCCAUAUCACCUUGCAAUUCACAACUGGCAACCCACUGAAGCUCAGCAGGUGUGAGCCUGGUCAGUACCUGGAUGGGAGACCACCUUGGAAAAACUGAGGUUGCUGCUGGAA
ensembl:rRNA 5S_rRNA 5S ribosomal RNA